AGAGUUUGAUCAUGGCUCAGAUUGAACGCUGGCGGCAGGCCUAACACAUGCAAGUCGAGCGGUAGCACAGAGAGCUUGCUCUCGGGUGACGAGCGGCGGACGGGUGAGUAAUGUCUGGGAAACUGCCUGAUGGAGGGGGAUAACUACUGGAAACGGUAGCUAAUACCGCAUAACAUCGCAAGACCAAAGUGGGGGACCUUCGGGCCUCAUGCCAUCAGAUGUGCCCAGAUGGGAUUAGCUAGUAGGUGGGGUAAUGGCUCACCUAGGCGACGAUCCCUAGCUGGUCUGAGAGGAUGACCAGCCACACUGGAACUGAGACACGGUCCAGACUCCUACGGGAGGCAGCAGUGGGGAAUAUUGCACAAUGGGCGCAAGCCUGAUGCAGCCAUGCCGCGUGUGUGAAGAAGGCCUUCGGGUUGUAAAGCACUUUCAGCGGGGAGGAAGGCGAUAAGGUUAAUAACCUUGUCGAUUGACGUUACCCGCAGAAGAAGCACCGGCUAACUCCGUGCCAGCAGCCGCGGUAAUACGGAGGGUGCAAGCGUUAAUCGGAAUUACUGGGCGUAAAGCGCACGCAGGCGGUCUGUCAAGUCGGAUGUGAAAUCCCCGGGCUCAACCUGGGAACUGCAUUCGAAACUGGCAGGCUAGAGUCUUGUAGAGGGGGGUAGAAUUCCAGGUGUAGCGGUGAAAUGCGUAGAGAUCUGGAGGAAUACCGGUGGCGAAGGCGGCCCCCUGGACAAAGACUGACGCUCAGGUGCGAAAGCGUGGGGAGCAAACAGGAUUAGAUACCCUGGUAGUCCACGCCGUAAACGAUGUCGAUUUGGAGGUUGUGCCCUUGAGGCGUGGCUUCCGGAGCUAACGCGUUAAAUCGACCGCCUGGGGAGUACGGCCGCAAGGUUAAAACUCAAAUGAAUUGACGGGGGCCCGCACAAGCGGUGGAGCAUGUGGUUUAAUUCGAUGCAACGCGAAGAACCUUACCUGGUCUUGACAUCCACAGAACUUUCCAGAGAUGGAUUGGUGCCUUCGGGAACUGUGAGACAGGUGCUGCAUGGCUGUCGUCAGCUCGUGUUGUGAAAUGUUGGGUUAAGUCCCGCAACGAGCGCAACCCUUAUCCUUUGUUGCCAGCGGUUCGGCCGGGAACUCAAAGGAGACUGCCAGUGAUAAACUGGAGGAAGGUGGGGAUGACGUCAAGUCAUCAUGGCCCUUACGACCAGGGCUACACACGUGCUACAAUGGCAUAUACAAAGAGAAGCGACCUCGCGAGAGCAAGCGGACCUCAUAAAGUAUGUCGUAGUCCGGAUUGGAGUCUGCAACUCGACUCCAUGAAGUCGGAAUCGCUAGUAAUCGUAGAUCAGAAUGCUACGGUGAAUACGUUCCCGGGCCUUGUACACACCGCCCGUCACACCAUGGGAGUGGGUUGCAAAAGAAGUAGGUAGCUUAACCUUCGGGAGGGCGCUUACCACUUUGUGAUUCAUGACUGGGGUGAAGUCGUAACAAGGUAACCGUAGGGGAACCUGCGGUUGGAUCACCU
rnacentral:rRNA from 1 species